rnacentral:rRNA from 1 species
AGCUGAGGGGUUCCACCUGUUCCCAUCCCGAACACAGAAGUUAAGCCCUCAAACGUCGAUGGUACUUGUCUGGAAACGGACCGGGAGAGUAGAUAGUUGCCGGAU